rnacentral:lncRNA from 1 species
UUCACAGUGCUAAAUUAGAUAUAUAAACUAAGGUAGAAUAAAAAUAGAAUUAAAAUAAAAAAUAUUAAUAAAAAAAAGGAAAUACUAAACAUAUUAAACAUUUUUUAUUGUUUUGCUUAACUUUGUUUAAAAUAAAUUAAAAAAAAAAAGAAAAAAGAAAAGAAAAGAAAUGGAAACAGAGUAGCAGACUCGUUCUCUCCCUCGCUCUCUCCUCAAUCUCACAAACUCACUCUUUCCACCCAACGAAAUCUUCGUACGAAACUCUCUUCUCUCGUCCCUCUUACGAAAUCGCUCGUAAUCAUCUCUCAAGCCUUUCUCUCGAAGUCUUUCUACCUCAAAAUCGCUCAUCAACGAACCCUCUCACGCUCUCAAACUCAAAGAAUCACUCUCUCUC